ACUCGAGUGGCGAACGGGUGAGUAACACGUGGGUGAUCUGCCCUGCACUUCGGGAUAAGCUUGGGAAACUGGGUCUAAUACUGGAUAUGACCUUUCUCCUUAUGGGGUUUGGUGGAAAGUUUUUCGGUGUAGGAUGAGCCCGCGGCCUAUCAGCUUGUUGGUGGGGUGAUGGCCUACCAAGGCGACGACGGGUAGCCGGCCUGAGAGGGUGAUCGGCCACAUUGGGACUGAGAUACGGCCCAG
rnacentral:rRNA from 1 species